ensembl:piRNA 21ur-4465 ncRNA
UUUCGAAAUGUUCUGUGGUGU